rnacentral:rRNA from 1 species
UUACCUGGCCUUGACAUCCCGGGAAUUUACCUGGAAACAGGAGAGUGCUUUCAUUAGAGAGAACCUGGAGACAGGUGCUGCAUGGCUGUCGUCAGCUCGUGUCGUGAGAUGUUGGGUUAAGUCCCGCAACGAGCGCAACCCUUGCCUUUAGUUGCCAGCAGUUCGGCUGGGCACUCUAAAGGGACUGCCGGUGUCAAACCGGAGGAAGGUGGGGAUGACGUCAAGUCCUCAUGGCCUUUAUGGCCAGGGCUACACACGUACUACAAUGGCCGGUACAAAGGGCAGCGACAUUGCGAGAUGGAGCGAAUCCCGAAAAGCCGGUCUCAGUCCGGAUUGGAGUCUGCAACUCGACUCCAUGAAGUUGGAAUCGCUAGUAAUCGUGGAUCAGCAUGCCACGGUCGAAUACGUUCCGGGCCUU